GAUGAAGAACGCAGCGAACUGCGAUAAGUAAUGUGAAUUGCAGAAUUCAGUGAAUCAUCGAGUCUUUGAACGCACAUUGCGCCCCCUGGCAUUCCGGGGGGCAUGCCUGUCCGAGCGUCAUUGCUGCCCUUCAAGCCCGGCUUGUGUGUUGGGUCGUCGUCCCCCCCGGGGGACGGGCCCGAAAGGCAGCGGCGGCACCGCGUCCGGUCCUCGAGCGUAUGGGGCUUUGUCACCCGCUCGAUUAGGGUCGGCCGGGCGCCAGCCGGCGUCUCCAACCUUCUAUUUUACCAGGUUGACCUCGGAUCAGGUAGGGAUACCCGCUGAACUUAAGCAUAUAAUAAGCGGAGGA
rnacentral:misc_RNA from 1 species